rnacentral:rRNA from 2 species
UACAGAGGUCCCGAGCGUUGUUCGGAUUCACUGGGCGUAAAGGGUGCGUAGGUGGUCGGGUAAGUCUGAUGUGAAAUCUCCAAGCUCAACUUGGAAACUGCAUCGGAUACUAUUCGGCUUGAGGGUUGGAGGGGGGACUGGAAUGCUUGGUGUAGCAGUGAAAUGCGUAGAUAUCAAGCGGAACACCAGUGGCGAAGGCGAGUCCCUGGACAACUCCUGACACUGAGGCACGAAAGCUAGGGGAGCAAACAGG